CUCUUCACACUGGAGCGUCAGCAGGGACUUCUGGCAACUUGUAAUGGCAACUAUUGUUCUUCACCCUGGAGCAGCAGCAGGGACUUCUGUUAACUUGUGAUGGCAAGUGUUCCUCUUCACCUAGGAGCAGCACCAGGGACUUCUGGGUCCUUGUGGUCACAAGUGUUCCUCUUCACCCUGGAGCAGCAGCAGGGACUUCUGGCAACUUGUGAGGGCAACUGUUGUUCUUCACCCUGGAGUAGCAGCAGGGACUUCUGGUAAUUUGUGAUGGCAACUGUUCCUCUUCACCCUGGAGAUGCAGCAGGGACUCCUGGUAACUGGUGAUGGCAAGUGUUCCUCUUCACCCUGGAGCAGCAGCAGGGACUUCUGGGUAUUUGUGGUCAAAAGUUUUCCCCUUCACCCUGGAGCAGCAGCAGGGACUUCUUGCAACUUGUGAUGGCAACUGUUGUUCUUCACCCUAGAGCAGCAGGAGGGACUUCUGGUUACUUUUGGAGGCAAGUGCUUUUUUUCACACUGGACCUGCAGCUGUGAGGUCCACUUAUUGGUGAUAGGAAGUGUUCUUCUUCAAACGGGAGCUGCAGCUUGGACCUCUGCUUGGUUGUGAUGGCAAAGGCCUCUCUCCACCCCUAAGCUGCAGUUGGGACGUCUGCGUAGUUGUGAUGGCAAAGGCCUCAUUCUAUCCUGGAGCGGUAUAUGACACCUCUGCUAGGUUAUAAUAGCAAAGACCUCUGUCCAACCCAGAGCUGCAACUGAGACCUCUGAUUUGUUAUGAUAUCAAAGGCCUCUCUCCACCCCUAAGCUGCAGCUGUGUCUUCUGCAUUUUUCUUAGGGAAAUUGGUCUUCUUCACCCACUAGCUUCAGGAAAGAUUUCUGAAACAUUUCAUGGCACGUGGUCCUCUUCACCUUGGAACAGCAGCAGGGACUUUAGUCAACUUGUAAUGGAAACUGUUAUUCUUCACCCUAGAGCAGCAGCAGGGACUUCUGGUAACUUGUGAUCACAUGUGUUCCUCUUCACCCUGGAGCUACAGCAGGGACUUCUGGUAACUAUUGAUGGCAAGUGUUGCUCUUCACCCUGGAACUGCAGCAGGGACUUCUGGUAACUUGUGAUGGCAAGUGUUCCUCUUCACCCUGGAGCGUCAGCAGGGACUUCUGGUUACUUGUCAUCACAAGUGUUCCUCUUCACCCUGGAGCAGCAGCAGUGACUUCUGGCAACUUGUAAUGGCAACUGUUGUUCUUCACCCUAGAGCAGCAGGAGGGACUUCUGGUUACUUUUGGAGGCAAGUGCUUUUCUUCGCACUGGACCCGCAGCUGUGAUGUCCAGGUAUUGGUGAUAUUAAGUGUUCUUCUUCAAACGGGAGCUGCAGCUUGGACCUCAGCUUGGUUGUGAUGGCAAAGGCCUCAUUCUAUCCUGGAGCGGUAUAUGGCACCUCUGCUAGGUUGUGAUAGCAAAGACCUCUGACCAACCCAGAGCUGCAACUGAGACCUCUGAUUUGUUAUGAUAUCAAAGGCCUCUCUCCACCCCUAAGCUGCAGCUGUGUCUUCUGCAUUUUUCUUAGCGAAAUUGGUCUUCUUCACCCAUUAGCUUCAGGAAAGAUUUCUAGUAACAUUUCAUGGCACGUGGUCCUCUUCACCUUGGUGCAGCAGCAGGGACUUUAGGCAACUUAUAAUGUAAACUGUUGUUCUUCACCCUGGAGCAGCAGCAGGGACUUCUGGUAACUUGUGAUCACAAGUGUUCCUCUUCACCCUGGAGCUACAGCAGGGACUUCUGGUAACUUGUGAUGGCAAGUAUUCCUCUUCACCCUGGAGCGUCAGCAGGGACUUCUGGUUACUUGUCAUCACAAGUGUUCCUCUUCACCCUGGAGCAGCAGCAAGGACUUCUGCCAACUUGUGAUGGCAACUGUUGUUCUUCACCCUGGAGCAGCAGGAGGGACUUCUGGUUACUUUUGGAGGCAAGUGCUUUUCUUCACACUGGAACUGCAGCUGUGAUGUCCACUUAUUG